rnacentral:lncRNA from 1 species
ACUGACUUAAUUAAAAAUUAAACAAACAGUUCUGACUCCACAUUGGAUCUAUUCUUUUAGCUCUAACCUUUUUGCCCUGUUGCCUCUGUUUAGUCAUGCUGGCUCUGCAUGUAAUGUUACCUAUAGCCUGAAAUAUACAUAAUAGCCCUUUCUCCAGGCUUUGCCUCUCAGGCUUGACCUUAUAAGGUAUAUGUUUCAUUGCUAUGAAGAUAAAAAGUUGCAGAACAGAAAAUAACAUUUGUCUUGUUGGAGAUUUAUCGGAACACUGUGACAGGAACUCUGAGGACAGCUACAAGAACAAAGAAUUAUCACUCUCCCUCUGGGUCUGGUUAGCACCAAGAAGUUCACAAAAACAAGCCACAUCUUCUCCCCUUUUACUGUAACAGAAGCCUGAGUUCUAACUCAAGCAAGAUGAUACUCUGGGAUACUCAUUAGUCCACCAUUUUCUUGGUUUGCUGGCUUUCCUAAUAAAGUCACUAUUUCCUGUCCCUACAUCUCCUCUCUCAAGGUAUUGGCCUGUUGUGCAGUGGGCAGGAAAAGCUUAGGCUUGGUAACAUAAGCAUUCUUAUCAUCUUGUCCUGUAUUACAGAAAACUCACAGAGGUUAAGUAAUGUUCCAAGUGUGAUACUGUGAUAUAAAAAGACAUUUUUAUUUUGGUUUUCAACCCCACUCCUGACCAGAGCACCUAAAACCUUUGUAAUUUUCAUAAUGCUUAGAGCAACGGGAGCACCUUUUGUUAUUAAUGUAUUGUUCCUGGCUCUUGAAACAGCUCUGGGCCAUUAAAUUGAAAGGAGUGUCGUUUGCUACUGAUAAGAAGUCCUUUUCAAUUAUAUCUGAGUUUAUGUUAAUGAGCUGACUUUUGGAAAGCCCCUAAGGAUGAAGGUCUGGUUGCCAGGGAAACCAAUAAUGUGAUUGGGGGGUGGGACUUUUUAGUCUCACCCCUGACCUCCAGAGAGGAAAGGAACUGGAGGUUGAGUUAAUAACCAAUAACCAAUGAUUUAAUCAAUCAUGCCUAUAUAAUGAAGCCUCCAUAAAAACGCUCACCAAAGGAGUUCAGACCUCUUCCAGGUUGAUGAGCACAUCCAUGUGCUGGGAGAGUGACACACUGACCUCCCGGGGACAGAAGCCCCUGCCCCCAGGGCCCUUUCAGACAGCACUCUUAUCAUAUAAGAUAAGUUGUAUCUUAUCAUGUAUCUGUUCUUUUGCGUCCUUUAAAAUAACCUUCACAGGAGUCCUGUCGUGGCUCAGUGGAAACAAAUCUGACUAGUACACGAGGAUGCAGGUUCGAUCCCAGGUCUUGUUCAGUGGGUUAGGGAUCCAGCGUUGCCGUGAGUUGUAGUGUCGGUUGCAGACGAUGCUCUGAUCUGGCAUCGCUGUGGCCGUGAUGUAGGCCCAGCAGCUACAGCUCUGAUUCGACCCCUAGCGUAGGCGCCUCCGUAUGCUGUGAGUUAG